rnacentral:rRNA from 1 species
AUUGAACGCUGGCGGCAGGCUUAACACAUGCAAGUCGAACGGUAACAUAAAGGAGCUUGCUUCUUUGAUGACGAGUGGCGGACGGGUGAGUAAUGCUUGGGAAUCUAGCUUAUGGAGGGGGAUAACUACGGGAAACUGUAGCUAAUACCGCGUAGAAUCGGGAGAUGAAAGUGUGGGACCUUCGGGCCCCAUGCCAUAGGAUGAGCCCAAGUGGGAUUAGGUAGUUGGUGAGGUAAAGGCCCACCAAGCCGACGAUCUCUAGCUGGUCUGAGAGGAUGACCAGCCACACUGGGACUGAGACACGGCCCAGACUCCUACGGGAGGCAGCAGUGGGGAAUAUUGCGCAAUGGGGGCAACCCUGACGCAGCCAUGCCGCGUGAAUGAAGAAGGCCUUCGGGUUGUAAAGUUCUUUCGGUAGCGAGGAAGGCAUUUAGUUUAAUAGACUAGGUGAUUGACGUUAACUACAGAAGAAGCACCGGCUAACUCCGUG